AUUGAACGCUGGCGGCAGGCCUAACACAUGCAAGUCGAACGGUAACAGGAAACAGCUUGCUGUUUCGCUGACGAGUGGCGGACGGGUGAGUAAUGUCUGGGAAACUGCCUGAUGGAGGGGGAUAACUACUGGAAACGGUAGCUAAUACCGCAUAACGUCGCAAGACCAAAGAGGGGGACCUUCGGGCCUCUUGCCAUCGGAUGUGCCCAGAUGGGAUUAGCUAGUAGGUGGGGUAACGGCUCACCUAGGAGACGAUCCCUAGCUGGCCUGAGAGGAUGACCAGCCACACUGGAACUGAGACACGGUCCAGACUCCUACGGGAGGCAGCAGUGGGGAAUAUUGCACAAUGGGCGCAAGCCUGAUGCAGCCAUGUCGCGUGUAUGAAGAAGGCCUUCGGGUUGUAAAGUACUUUCAGCGGGGAGGAAGGGAGUAAAGUUAAUACCUUUGCUCACUGACGUUACCCGCAGAAGAAGCACCGGCUAACUCCGUGCCAGCCGCCGCAGUAA
rnacentral:rRNA from 1 species